rnacentral:rRNA from 1 species
AUUGAACGCUAGCGGGAUGCCUUACACAUGCAAGUCGAACGAGUGGCGAACGGGUGAGUAAUGUAUCGGAACGUUCCCAGUAGCGGGGGAUAACUAAUCCAAAGAUUAGCUAAUACCUCAUAUUAUUCGCCCGGCCUAUAUCUGAUUAGCUGGUUGGUGGGGUAAAGGCCUACCAAGGCGACGAUCAGUAGCGGGUCUGAGAGGAUGAUCCGCCACACGGGGACUGAGACACGGCCCAGACUCCUACGGGAGGCAGCAGUGGGGAAUUUUGGACAAUGGGCGCAAGCCUGAUCCAGCCAUGCCGCGUGUCUGAAGAAGGCCUUCGGGUUGUAAAGGACUUUUGUCAGGGAAGCGGUACCUGAAGAAUAAGCACCGGCUAACUACGUGCCAGCCGCCGCGGUAAUAC